CACAGAUCCUGCCCUCAGCCACCUGCCAAUGCCCGCUGAAAGAGAUGGGUUCUGCGGUGUACCUGGGUGGAUCAAAAAAAAAAAUAGACUAUUUUGGAUGUUGACAGAAGAGCACUCCAAAGAACAUCUUCCAGAGAAUGGACUGGAACAAAAGAAAACUAAGCAUUACCAGAAAAGAGCAAAAUCAUCUCCGAUUUCCAGAAAUAUCUUCCUCCUUUACAGACAAGACAUAUCUCUUGUCACAUAUGACAUUGAGAGUGACAUACAGAAGACAGAUCAGUACAGAUGGGAAUAUUUCUUAACAAGCUCAGAAAUAUCUUUCUAAGAUCUGAUUUCAGUUGGUGAAAGCUGAAGCUUUGUGCUCUCCUGAUCUGCACCCAGCCUGCGAAGAGGAAGAGGGAUGUGAACAGCCCCUGGAGAUGCGCCCCUCUACCCCCAUGAAAAGGAAGACAAAAGAGGACCUCACAGCAGCCCCCACAAGCCUGGGAGGGGAUUGGGGGGGUAAAGAACCCUAGGAGUGAGGACUGGGAGUAGGAACCCUGAACUGCAGAGUGAGGACUGGGAGUAGGGGGCUAUACUGAGGGGGGCUGAACUAAUGGUGUGGAUUGGGGGUGCUGCUUGUUUCAGGGAAAUGGAGAAGCCUUCAGGGGCCUUGGGAGGGAAAAUAAAAAUGAAUUAUUCUUAGCUAUUUGGACAAUUAAUUUUGAAAUUAAGUAAACUCAAAAUAAUGUAUAUAUUGAUGUAGUUAUCAAAAUUAU